AUAGACAGUGUUGCAGUCUCACGUCGAUCUCAACGUCUUUUCUCUGUAGGCGCAUUGAGCUCCCAGCCAACCUUCAGCUAUGAAGAUCCUGUACCUUCUUUUUGCUCUCUUCUUCUUGGUGAUGCAAGUUAGUGGGCAAGGAUUUGGGUGUCCUCCUGGUUGUAGAAGACUAUGUAUUAGGAUGAGAGGCAGUUGCCUUCGUCGUUGUCCUUUCAAUAUGACUCCCCUGUUUUCCUGCGGCAUGUAUAAAUGCUGUCAUCGCUGGGGUACAUGGAAGUGAUGACAACAAAGAUUCUCAAGACAUCAUCUCCGGGAAGCUGGAAGAAAAUGUCUUGCAGUGAAAAUCUUGAAGAAAAUCCAGAAAGAGGCUCUCUAACCUGCAUUAUGACCUCUGUGUUACUGGAAUAAAAGCAACUGGUUUUGCUGGUGUAUUGCAAAA